rnacentral:rRNA from 1 species
GACGAACGCUGGCGGCGUGCCUAAUACAUGCAAGUAGAACGCUGAAGGAGGAGCUUGCUUCUCCGGAUGAGUUGCGAACGGGUGAGUAACGCGUAGGUAACCUGCCUGGUAGCGGGGGAUAACUAUUGGAAACGAUAGCUAAUACCGCAUAACAGUAGAUGUUGCAUGACAUUUGCUUAAAAGGUGCAAUUGCAUCACUACCAGAUGGACCUGCGUUGUAUUAGCUAGUUGGUGAGGUAACGGCUCACCAAGGCGACGAUACAUAGCCGACCUGAGAGGGUGAUCGGCCACACUGGGACUGAGACACGGCCCAGACUCCUACGGGAGGCAGCAGUAGGGAAUCUUCGGCAAUAGACGGAAGUCUGACCGAGCAACGCCGCGUGAGUGAAGAAGGUUUUGGGAUCGUAAAGCUCUGUUGUAAGAGAAGAACGAGUGUGAGAGUGGAAAGUUCACACUGUGACGGUAUCUUACCAGAAAGGGACGGCUAACUACGUG